rnacentral:rRNA from 1 species
CCAAUAGCGUAUAUUAAAGUUGUUGCAGUUAAAAAGCUCGUAGUUGAAUUUCGGGAUCAGUAUGUCGGUCGUGCUUCGGUACGUACUGUCAUUACUGGUUUCUCCCUUCUGAAGAACCAUGAUGUCAUUAAUUUGGUGUCGUGGGAAAUCAGGACUGUUACUUUGAAAAAAUUAGAGUGUUUAAAGCAGGCAUACGCUUGAAUACAUUAGCAUGGAAUAAUGAAAUAGGACGUUUGAUUCUAUUUUGUUGGUUUCUAGGAUCGACGUAAUGGUUAAUAGGGAUAGUUGGGGGCAUUAGUAUUCAAUUGUCAGAGGUGAAAUUCUUGGAUUUAUUGAAGACUAACUACUGCGAAAGCAUUUGCCAAGGAUGUUUUCAGUAAUCAAGAACGAAAGUUAGGGGAUCGAAGACGAUCAGAUACCGUCGUAGUCUUAACCAUAAACUAUGCCGACUAGGGAUCGGAUGAUGUUAAUUUUUUAAUGACUCAUUCGGCGCCUUACG